GACGUAGGGUCCAAGCGUUGUCCGGAUUUACUGGGCGUAAAGAGCGCGUAGGCGGUUCUGUUAAGUGUAGAGUGAAAGCUCCGGGCUCAACCCGGAAAUUGCUCUGCAUACUGGCAGACUUGAGGAGUGGAAGGAGGUUUGAUGGAAUUGUCCUGGUGUAGCGGUGAAAUGCGUAGAUAUCAGGAGGAACACCCAUGGCGAAGGCAG
rnacentral:rRNA from 1 species